GACAGAGGGUGCAAGCGUUGUCCGGAUUGACUGGGUGUAAAGGGCGUGUAGGCGGCCGAGUAAGUCUGACGUGAAAACAUCACCGCUCAACGGGAUGUACGCGUUGGAAACUGUUCGGCUUGAGUACAGGAGAGGUUAACGGAAUUCCAGGUGUAGCGGUGGAAUGUGUAGAUAUCUGGAGGAACACCGGUGGCGAAAGCGGUUAACUGGCCUGUGACUGACGCUGAGGCGCGAAAGCCAGGGGAGCAAACGGG
rnacentral:rRNA from 2 species